rnacentral:rRNA from 1 species
GCUACGGGAGGCAGCAGUGAGGAAUAUUGGUCAAUGGGCGCGAGCCUGAACCAGCCAAGUAGCGUGAAGGAUGACUGCCCUACGGGUUGUAAACUUCUUUUAUAAAGGAAUAAAGUGAGGCACGUGUGCCUUUUUGUAUGUACUUUAUGAAUAAGGAUCGGCUAACCCCGUGCCAGCAGCCGCGGUAAUACGGAGGAUCCGAGCGUUAUCCGGAUUUAUUGGGGUUAAAGGGAGCGUAGAUGGGUUGUUAAGUCAGUUGUGAGAGUUUGCGGCUCAACCGUAAAGUUGCAAUUGUUACUGGCAGUCUUGAGUACAGUUGAGGUAGGCGGCAUUCGUGUUGUCGCGGUGAAAUGCU